AUAUAAAGCAUGCACAGUAUAUACCCUAAACUAGGAACAAUAUAGAGGAGAGUUGUAGCAUGACUCCUGUGUAAGAAUGAAGUGCAACUUUGUGAAGUGUUCCAAAUUUUU